GAGGAAUAUUGGUCAAUGGACGGAAGUCUGAACCAGCCAAGUAGCGUGCAGGAUGACGGCCCUAUGGGUUGUAAACUGCUUUUGUAUGGGGAUAAAGUCAAUCACGUGUGAUUGUUUGCAGGUACCAUACGAAUAAGGACCGGCUAAUUCCGUGCCAGCAGCCGCGGUAAUACGGAAGGUUCGGGCGUUAUCCGGAUUUAUUGGGUUUAAAGGGAGCGUAGGCCGGAGAUUAAGUGUGUUGUGAAAUGUAGACGCUCAACGUCUGACUUGCAGCGCAUACUGGUUUCCUUGAGUACGCACAACGUUGGCGGAAUUCGUCGUGUAGCGGUGAAAUGCUUAGAUAUGACGAAGAACUCCGAUUGCGAAGGCAGCUGACGGGAGCGCAACUGACGCUGAAGCUCGAAGGUGCGGGUAUCGAACAGGAUUAGAUACCCUGGUAGUCCGCACAGUAAACGAUGGAUGCCCGCUGUUGGUACCUAGUAUCAGCGGCUAAGCGAAAGCAUUAGGCAUCCCACCUGGGGAGUACGCCGGCAACGGUG
rnacentral:rRNA from 1 species